rnacentral:tRNA from 1 species
GCGGGCUUGGGCAAGGGGUCGGGCCGCUCCAUUUCCGGCGUGGACCUCGGCGCCGCGGUGCUGGCGGCGAAGGACCACGGCCUUCUGGUCGCG